rnacentral:rRNA from 1 species
GUAUAGAGUUACUGGCGUACAACUUUGAGCGGUGGAUCACUCGGCUCGUGUGUCGAUGAAGAGUGCAGC